AUUGAACGCUGGCGGCAUGCCUUACACAUGCAAGUCGAACGGUAACGGGCCUUCGGGUGCCGACGAGUGGCGCACGGGUGAGUAAUACAUCGGAACGUGCCCGAUCGUGGGGGAUAACGAGGCGAAAGCUUUGCUAAUACCGCAUACGAUCUACGGAUGAAAGCAGGGGACCGCAAGGCCUUGCGCGGACGGAGCGGCCGAUGGCAGAUUAGGUAGCUGGUGGGAUAAAAGCUUACCAAGCCGACGAUCUGUAGCUGGUCUGAGAGGAUGAUCAGCCACACUGGGACUGAGACACGGCCCAGACUCCUACGGGAGGCAGCAGUGGGGAAUUUUGGACAAUGGGCGCAAGCCUGAUCCAGCCAUGCCGCGUGCAGGAUGAAGGCCUUCGGGUUGUAAACUGCUUUUGUACGGAACGAAAAGCCUUCUUUUAAUACAGGAGGGUCAUGACGGUACCGUAAGAAUAAGCACCGGCUAACUACGUG
rnacentral:rRNA from 1 species